GUCAAUGCGACAGAGCGCCGGUAUAUAUGUAGGGUGAGUCGAAGGAGAGGAGUCACAUCGUGUUCAACAGGCUCCUUCGGUACACACACACACACACACAUCCAACGCAGAACCAGCCAGAAAAUCUUGUGAAAAUCUAAAGAGAAAAAUGAAUAAGACAAUAGCCGUUUUUCUCGUCAUCGUCGUGCUAGCCGUCAUUGGCAUGGCAGCCGCAGGAUACAGGGGUCGAUACGGUGGUGGAUACAGGGGGUGGUUACGGUGGUGGAUACGGACGCGGAUAUGGUGGAUACGGCGGCGGAUACGGUGGAUACGGACGCGGAUAUGGUGGAUACGGAGGCGGAUAUGGAGGAUACGGAGACGGAUAUGGAGGAUACGGAGGCGGAUACGGAGGAUACGGCGGCGGAUAUGGGGGCUACGGUUAAGGAGGUUAUGGCUACCGCCGCUAA